AACACUGUAAACCGAAAGGUGUGUGUUUCCUCGCCCAGCACCGGUCACUGAGUUAGCAAGCUGAAGUUGGCUAGUGAGUCACAAAUGUACGUUCAGCCUAUUCAUUAUGAUUGGCCUUAAAGUAAAUUAAUCAGCAUGGCUUAACAUAGCACUGUUGGCGGUAUAAACACAACUAUUUCGCUACACCCGCUAAACAUGUGUAUGUAACAUUUAUUUGAUUUCGUUUUUGACCUCGACAUUCUUGCUGGAUAGACACUUUGAUAGCUAACAUGCUAGCGCUGCUAACUAGCUAAUGGCGCUAGCUAAACUCCUAUGUUAGGCUGGACACAUUGCAUUUUAAAUGUUUUUUUUUCUAAUAAAACGUGUUUCAUUGCAUCCGCGGUGGAGCCAAGUUUCAUAUUUCCCAGCUGCCUGUCGUAGUUAAAGUAAUCACGAAAAAGCAGGCCUUAAUUUAGGGCAUUUUAUCACCCUGCCAGCUCCUAUUAGUUCUACUGAGCACUGUGGUACCAACUCGCCUUCCGAACGUUCGUGUAAUGUGUCCAGCCUAACAGGAGUUCAGCUAGCGCCGUUAGCAUUAGCUAGUUAGCAGCGCUAGCUAUCAGUGUCUCCAGCAAGAAAGUACAACAAAUGGAACAAUGGUAGUUUCGCUAUAGUUGGCAAUUGAGACCUUCUCACGUUAAGUUAAAAUGUAAACAACGAAUUACUCAUGUUACUCUUGAGGUCGUCCCAUUGUUUACUAUAGGGAAAUAUAGGUAUGGCUGUCUUUGCCAUAUCUCGCGAUGUGUGCGUUUUUUUGUCUUUUCGGACACCAUAUUAAUCAUUAUCUUUCUAAUUAUGUAAGGCUGGGUAUUGUAUCUCGUCAAACGCUAGACCAGAAAUAGUCAGUUGUCAUUUUUUCCCCUACUUCCUCGCUAUGCAGACAAGCACAAUUGGUUCCACUGGGGUGCAGAUGUUUCCUUUAUACACGAGUUAUUUUUCAGUUUCGUCCUAAGAACAGAUUGUAGUGUUAAAAUAAAAAUGGAUACUUUUUUGGUGCCAUUUAGGCUAAAUGGGAAUCUAAGCUUCACUCCAGUCAAAACGGGCUCUGCGAACGCUCGAUUCCAUUCGUUUGAUAUGGGCUCGUGCUAGUUUUAGCUUUAGCCAACGUUCUAAAGCCGUUUUCAGCCUUGGGUGAAUUUUGACUCGUUGUUUUGUCCAGCCGACCUAUGCGGAUGUUUAUCUAAAUCCCAAGAGCAGCAGACCGAUCUGCCACCCCCAGUAGUUCAGCUGUAGUCACAGCAGUCCUCAGCUGUGGUAUUUAAUUUACCGGCUGCACCAAUUCUUACUUCACUGGCCUUGAAGGGAGAAACUUUUGAGGAUUCCCAACUGGAUACAGAUCUGCAAUGCACUCCACUGCAAGACAGCCUCACCCAGAAGUGCAUACACUGGGCCUAUCAAGACUGACAAAGCAGAGAUGGGUGGGUGACAAGGAAACUUAAAACGCAACAUGCACACAUAAUCCCCAAUGUAAAUACAUUGUAGUUUAUUUUAUGUAUGCUCCAUUUUAUUUGAGGAAAAUGUCUGCAAUAAAGUUUGUUCAGUUAAGCAA